UUACGGUCAAAUCACGCUGAAACACCGGUUCUCGUUCGAUCACCGAAGUUAAGCAUCGUAGAGCCAGGUCAGUACUUAGAUGGGGGACCGCUUGGGAACACCUGGUACUGUAAUC